rnacentral:rRNA from 1 species
CACGUAGUUAGCCGUGGCUUUCUAGUAAGGUACCGUCAGGGCGCAGCCAGUUACUGCUGCGCUUGUUCUUCCCUUACAACAGAGCUUUACGAUCCGAAGACCUUCUUCGCUCACGCGGCGUUGCUCCAUCAGGCUUUCGCCCAUUGUGGAAGAUUCCCUACUGCUGCCUCCCGUAGGAGUCUGGGCCGUGUCUCAGUCCCAGUGUGGCCGAUCACCCUCUCAGGUCGGCUACGCAUCGUCGCCUUGGUAGGCCGUUACCCCACCAACUAGCUAAUGCGCCGCGGGCCCAUCCUAUAGUGAUAGCAGAACCAUCUUUCAACACCGAAGCAUGCGCUUCGAUGUGUUAUCCGGUAUUAGCUCGCGUUUCCGCGAGUUAUCCCAGUCUAUAGGGCAGGUUACCCACGUGUUACUCACCCGUCCGCCGCUAACCAAUCAAAAAGCAAGCUUCUUAAUUAGGUCCGCUCGACUUGCAUGUAUAGGCACGCGCCAGCGUCGUCUCG